GACGAACGCUGGCGGCGUGCCUAAUACAUGCAAGUAGAACGCUGAAGGAGGAGCUUGCUUCUCCGGAUGAGUUGCGAACGGGUGAGUAACGCGUAGGUAACCUGCCUGGUAGCGGGGGAUAACUAUUGGAAACGAUAGCUAAUACCGCAUAAGAGUAGAUGUUGCAUGACAUUUGCUUAAAAGGUGCAAUUGCAUCACUACCAGAUGGACCUGCGUUGUAUUAGCUAGUUGGUGAGGUAACGGCUCACCAAGGCGACGAUACAUAGCCGACCUGAGAGGGGGAUCGGCCACACUGGGACUGAGACACGGCCCAGACUCCUACGGGAGGCAGCAGUAGGGAAUCUUCGGCAAUGGACGGAAGUCUGACCGAGCAACGCCGCGUGAGUGAAGAAGGUUUUCGGGUCGUAAAGCUCUGUUGUAAGAGAAGAACGAGUGUGAGAGUGGAAAGUUCACACUGUGACGGUAUCUUACCAGAAAGGGACGGCUAACUACGUG
rnacentral:rRNA from 1 species